rnacentral:rRNA from 1 species
AACACAUGCAAGUCGAGGGGCAUCAGGAAGAAAGCUUGCUUUCUUUGCUGGCGACCGGCGCACGGGUGAGUAACACGUAUCCAACCUGCCCUUUACUCGGGGAUAGCCUUUCGAAAGAAAGAUUAAUACCCGAUAGCAUAAUGAUUCCGCAUGGUUUCAUUAUUAAAGGAUUCCGGUAAAGGAUGGGGAUGCGUUCCAUUAGGUUGUUGGUGAGGUAACGGCCCACCAAGCCUUCGAUGGAUAGGGGUUCUGAGAGGAAGGUCCCCCACAUUGGAACUGAGACACGGUCCAAACUCCUACGGGAGGCAGCAGUGAGGAAUAUUGGUCAAUGGGCGCUAGCCUGAACCAGCCAAGUAGCGUGAAGGAUGAAGGCUCUAUGGGUCGUAAACUUCUUUUAUAUAAGAAUAAAGUGCAGUAUGUAUACUGUUUUGUAUGUAUUAUAUGAAUAAGGAUCGGCUAACUCCGUGCCAGCAGCCGCGGUAAUACGGAGGAUCCGAGCGUUAUCCGGAUUUAUUGGGUUUAAAGGGAGCGUAGGUGGACUGGUAAGUCAGUUGUGAAAGUUUGCGGCUCAACCGUAAAAUUGCAGUUGAUACUGUCAGUCUUGAGUACAGUAGAGGUGGGCGGAAUUCGUGGUGUAGCGGUGAAAUGCUUAGAUAUCACGAAGAACUCCGAUUGCGAAGGCAGCUCACUGGACUGCAACUGACACUGAUGCUCGAAAGUGUGGGUAUCAAACAGGAUUAGAUACCCUGGUAGUCCACACAGUAAACGAUGAAUACUCGCUGUUUGCGAUAUACAGUAAGCGGCCAAGCGAAAGCAUUAAGUAUUCCACCUGGGGAGUACGCCGGCAACGGUGAAACUCAAAGGAAUUGACGGGGGCCCGCACAAGCGGAGGAACAUGUGGUUUAAUUCGAUGAUACGCGAGGAACCUUACCCGGGCUUAAAUUGCAGUGGAAUGAUGUGGAAACAUGUCAGUGAGCAAUCACCGCUGUGAAGGUGCUGCAUGGUUGUCGUCAGCUCGUGCCGUGAGGUGUCGGCUUAAGUGCCAUAACGAGCGCAACCCUUAUCUUUAGUUACUAACAGGUUAUGCUGAGGACUCCAGAGAGACUGCCGUCGUAAGAUGUGAGGAAGGUGGGGAUGACGUCAAAUCAGCACGGCCCUUACGUCCGGGGCUACACACGUGUUACAAUGGGGGGUACAGAAGGCAGCUAGCGGGUGACCGUAUGCUAAUCCCAAAAUCCUCUCUCAGUUCGGAUCGAAGUCUGCAACCCGACUUCGUGAAGCUGGAUUCGCUAGUAAUCGCGCAUCAGCCACGGCGCGGUGAAUACGUUCCCGGGCCUUGUACACACCGCCCGUCAAGCCAUGGGAGCCGGGGGUACCUGAAGUACGUAACCGCAAGGAUCGUCCUAGGGUAAAACUGGUGACUGGGGCUAA